rnacentral:rRNA from 1 species
UACGAAGGGGGCUAGCGUUGCUCGGAAUCACUGGGCGUAAAGCGCACGUAGGCGGGUCCUUAAGUCAGGGGUGAAAUCCUGGAGCUCAACUCCAGAACUGCCCUUGAUACUGAGGAUCUCGAGUUCGGGAGAGGUGAGUGGAACUGCGAGUGUAGAGGUGAAAUUCGUAGAUAUUCGCAAGAACACCAGUGGCGGAAGGCGGACUCACUGGCCCGGUACUCGGACGCUGAG